rnacentral:rRNA from 1 species
AACGUCGGAGACAAACGUUAUCCGGAGUUACUGGGCGUAAAGGGCGUGUAGGCGGUUUGUUAAGUCUGGCGUGAAAGCUCUCGGCUAAACCGGGAGAGGUCGUUGGAUACUGGCAAACUAGAGGACGGUAGAGGCGUGUGGAAUUCCGGGUGUAGUGGUGAAAUGCGUAGAGAUCCGGAGGAACACCAGUGGCGAAGGCGACACGCUGGGCCGUACCUGACGCUAAAGCGCGACAGCAUGGGGAGCAAACGGG